rnacentral:rRNA from 1 species
CACGUAGGGUGCGAGCGUUGUCCGGAAUUAUUGGGCGUAAAGAGCUCGUAGGCGGCUUGUCGCGUCGACUGUGAAAACCCGUGGCUCAACCAUGUGGUCUGCAGUCGAUACGGGCAGGCUAGAAUUCGGUAGGGGAGACUGGAAUUCCUGGUGUAGCGGUGAAAUGCGUAGAUAUCAGGAGGAACACCGGUGGCGAAGGCGGCCCUCUGGACGGAUACUGACGCUGAGGCGCGAAAGCGUGGGAGAACUGAAAUCAGGAUUAC